AGAGAGAGAGAGAAGCAGAGACAUAGGCAGAGGGAGAAGCAGGCUCCAUGCACCGGGAGCCUGACGUGGGAUUCGAUCCCGGGUCUCCAGGAUCGCGCCCUGGGCCAAAGGCAGGCGCCAAACCGCUGCGCCACCCAGGGAUCCCCAAAAGAGAACUUUUUAAAUGUGUUUUUCCUUUAAAGCAGAAAUGCAAAAUGGAUAAGGUACUGAGGUCGGUUUAGUGGUCAACCUAGAGCAAACCGUUCUGAUUUCUGACGUCCGAGUGGGUGGGUGGGGGUCAAGCAAGGCAGCUCGCCGUAUUUUUUCUCCUUUUUUUCUUGAUCUUGAGAGGAGAGUCGCUAAGCUCCUCUGAGUUGUCAAAAGACCGUUUUGGAUGUGUUCUUUUCUUUUCUUUUCUUUUUGCAUGUGUUCUUCCCUCCUUCCUGCAGGCCAGCAUCUCUCCCGUCCGCUGCCCUCUUGGAAGCUGGCUUUCUGGACUUCCCCUCCACUUUCCAUUUGUGGCCCCGGCUCCUGGGUGCUCCCAGACUCCAGGGCCUGGCGCGCCUUCCCACGGGGAUUCUUGAGGAGAGCACGUGACAUGAGAGUCCACGGAGGUAGGUUCACCAUCUCAUGCUCUUGGGAAGUUUUUUUUUAAGGAUUUUGUGUAUUUUAUUCAUGAGACACAGAGAGAGGCAGAGACACAGGCAGAGGGAGAAGCAGGCUCCGUGCAGGGAGCCCGAUGCGGGACUCGAUCCCGGGUCUCCAGGAUCACGCCUUGGGUUGAAGGCAGGUGCUAAACCGCUGAGCCACCCAGGUGUCCCCUAAAAUUUUUUUUUAAUAAUUUAUUUAUGAGAGAGAGAGAGAGAGAGAGAGAGAGAGAGACUGCACGAGAC
rnacentral:lncRNA from 1 species